rnacentral:rRNA from 1 species
UACGGAGGGAGCUAGCGUUGUUCGGAAUUACUGGGCGUAAAGCGCACGUAGGCGGCUAUUCAAGUCGGGGGUGAAAGCCCGGGGCUCAACCCCGGAACUGCCCUCGAAACUAGGUAGCUAGAAUCUUGGAGAGGCGAGUGGAAUUCCGAGUGUAGAGGUGAAAUUCGUAGAUAUUCGGAAGAACACCAGUGGCGAAGGCGACUCGCUGGACAAGUAUUGACGCUGAGGUGCGAAAAGCGUGGGGAGCAAACAGG